GUUUGAGGCUGCUUUUAAUGUUUAAAUACUUAUUGAACUAAACAGUUCUAGAAACACUGCUGUGCUCACUAAGCCAGUGUAAUCAUUAGAAAGCUGAGUGGGGGAGGUGGAUCAUCUCUUGACACUGUGCAGAGCUUCCCCCAAAUUCUCAGUGCGUGCAAAAGAGAAGUGAAAUAGGGCAUUUCAAUUAUACCUCUACAAAAUUGAAAAAGGAGAGAGAUAAAUGAGAAGUCACAGGCAAAGGACAUGUGACUGAAGCCCCAACAAGUGU
rnacentral:lncRNA from 1 species